rnacentral:tRNA from 1 species
GGAAGGUUGCGAGAGUGGACGAUUCGGUCACCUUGGAAAGGUGAUGUGGCCUCCGGGUCACCAUGGGUUCGAAUCCCAUACCUUCCU